rnacentral:tRNA from 1 species
GAAGGUGGCACCUUAAAUGGUAUCUACUCUGUAAAAGUAGAGUGUAAGAAUCUGAUAUUCUUCAUCUUCA